rnacentral:rRNA from 1 species
UACGUAGGUGGCAAGCGUUGUCCGGAUUUACUGGGCGUAAAGAGCGCGCAGGCGGUCGAAUAAGUCGAAUGUGAAAGCCCCCGGCUCAACUGGGGAGGGUCAUUCGAUACUGUUCGACUUGAAGGCAGGAGAGAGAAGCAGAAUUCCCGGUGUAGUGGUGAAAUGCGUAGAUAUCGGGAGGAAUACCAGUGGCGAAAGCGGCUCACUGGACCAUAACUGACGCUGAUGCACGAAAGCUAGGGGAGCAAACAGG